CUGAGGAGUGAUCUUAUAGAGCUGUCUAAGCCUAUGAGGGGAAAAAAUAGGAUGAAUGCAAAGUCUUGUAACCAGAAUGGGG